AUUGAAUCAUACUGAUACUCAAUGAGUCCCUAGAGUUAUAAAAUGGAACUUCUUAUUCAUUGACAUAAUCAUGGAUAUAUAAGCUUGACGUAGUUUGAAUUUUAUUCCAGGACUCCAUCUCCAGUCACAAUAUAAAUAGAAGUAUACUAGGAAAAUUUAUGAAUUUAAUAUAAUAGUAAUUUAUCACUAAUUACUAUUAAAACGAUGAAUGAACAAUAUUAUACUAUGAACUCUUCACAUCGACUCUGACGUCACAAAAACAAACUUUCUAUUUAGGUUGACCAGCGGUCGGUGCGGUACAACAACUUGAAAAGGAGGGCUGACCCGAUUUGCAAUUUCUGAGUAGUGAACAUCCUUUCCUAAAUAGAUUCAAUUAUAUUAAAAACCUGUUUGAACGUUUGUUCUGUUUUUGAAAUAAAUAAACUUUCCCGUUUGUUUUUAUUAGCGGACGGACGGACAUACAAACAUAGACGUACUAUAAUAUUAUAUCUAAGGGUGGUAAUUUUGGUAAGAAUAGAAAAGCG
rnacentral:lncRNA from 1 species